rnacentral:rRNA from 1 species
UAAAUCAGUUAUGGUUCACUAGAUCGUCAAUUUUACACGGAUAACUGUGGUAAUUCUAGAGCUAAUACGUGCAAAUAGCUCGCUUCCUUGCGGAGCGAGCGCAGUUAUUAGAUCAAAACCAAUCCGGCCUUCGGGUCGGUACAAUUGGUGAUUCUGAAUAACCGAAGCAGAGCGCAUGGUCUCGUACCGGCGCCAGAUCUUUCAAGUGUCUGACUUAUCAGCUUGUUGUUAGGUUACGUUCCUAACAAGGCUUCAACGGGUAACGGGGUAUCAGGGUCCGAUACCGGAGAGGGAGCCUGAGAAACGGCUACCACAUCCAAGGAAGGCAGCAGGCGCGCAAAUUACCCACUCCUAGCACAGGGAGGUAGUGACGAAAAAUAACGAUGCGAGGGCUAUUAGCUUCUCGUAAUCGGAAUGGGUACACUUUAAAUCCUUUAACGAGGAUCUAUUGGAGGGCAAGUCUGGUGCCAGCAGCCGCGGUAAUUCCAGCUCCAAUAGCGUAUAUUAAAGUUGCUGCGGUUAAAAAGCUCGUAGUUGGAUCUGGGCUUCUGAAUGGAUGGUGCACUUUUCGGUGCAACUGUUCGUUUGGUGCCACAAGCCGGCCAUGUCUUGCAUGCUCUUCAUUGAGUGUGCAUGGCGACCGGAACGUUUACUUUGAAAAAAUUAGAGUGCUCAAAGCAGGCGUACGGCCUUGCAUAAUGGUGCAUGGAAUAAUGGAAUAGGACCUCGGUUCUAUUUUGUUGGUUUUCGGAACUCGAGGUAAUGAUUAAUAGGAACAGACGGGGGCAUU